GGGCCGGCUUUAGCUCAGCGGUUCCUUCGCAGCUUCAUUCAAUUGAAAACCCAGCCCCUCCGGGGGUUCGAGAUCCGCGGGCGCUAUCUGGCCUUUUG
ensembl:misc_RNA Vault Vault RNA